UACGUAGGGAGCAAGCGUUGUCCGGAAUCAUUGGGCGUAAAGCGCGCGUAGGUGGCUUCGUAAGUCCGUUGUGAAAGUCAAAGGCUCAACCUUUGAAAGCCGAUGGAUACUGCGGAGCUAGAGUGCAGCAGAGGAUAGUGGAAUUCCCGGUGUAGUGGUGAAAUGCGUAGAUAUCGGGAGGAACACCAGUGGCGAAGGCGACUAUCUGGGCUGCAACUGACGCUGAGGCGCGAAGGCUAGGGUAGCAAACAGG
rnacentral:rRNA from 1 species